AUUGAACGCUAGCGGCAUGCUUUACACAUGCAAGUCGAACGAGUGGAGGACGGGUGAAUAAUAUAUCGGAACGUGCCCAGUCGCGGGGGAUAACUACUCGAAAGAGUGGCAAAUAGCGCAUACUACUGGAGCGGCCGUUAUCGGAUUAGCUAGUUGGUGGGGUAAAGGCUCACCAAGGCAACGAUCCGUAGCUGGUUUGCGAGGAUGACCGGCCACACUGGGACUGAGACACGGCCCAGACUCCUACGGGAGGCAGCAGUGGGGAAUUUGAGACAAUGGGGGAAACCCUGAUCCAGCAAUCCCGCGUGUAUGAGAAGGCUUUCGGGUUGUAAAGCACUGUUGGCAUAGAAGCGGUAUCUGAAGAAUAAGCACCGGCUAACUACGUGCCAGCAGCCGCGGUAAUAC
rnacentral:rRNA from 1 species